rnacentral:rRNA from 1 species
AAUGUUUGAUGUUCUAACGUUGACCCGUGAUCCGGGUUGCGGACAGUGUCUGGUGGGUAGUUUGACUGGGGCGGUCUCCUCCUAAAGAGUAACGGAGGAGCACGAAGGUUGGCUAAUCCUGGUCGGACAUCAGGAGGUUAGUGCAAUGGCAUAAGCCAGCUUGACUGCGAGCGUGACGGCGCGAGCAGGUGCGAAAGCAGGUCAUAGUGAUCCGGUGGUUCUGAAUGGAAGGGCCAUCGCUCAACGGAUAAAAGGUACUCCGGGGAUAACAGGCUGAUACCGCCCAAGAGUUCAUAUCGACGGCGGUGUUUGGCACCUCGAUGUCGGCUCAUCACAUCCUGGGGCUGAAGUAGGUCCCAAGGGUAUGGCUGUUCGCCAUUUAAAGUGGUACGCGAGCUGGGUUUAGAACGUCGUGAGACAGUUCGGUCCCUAUCUGCCGUGGGCGCUGGAGAACUGAGGGGGGCUGCUCCUAGUACGAGAGGACCGGAGUGGACGCAUCACUGGUGUUCGGGUUGUCAUGCCAAUGGCACUGCCCGGUAGCUAAAUGCGGAAGAGAUAAGUGCUGAAAGCAUCUAAGCACGAAACUUGCCCCGAGAUGAGUUCUCCCUGACUCCUUGAGAGUCCUGAAGGAACGUUGAAGACGACGACGUUGAUAGGCCGGGUGUGUAAGCGCAGCGAUGCGUUGAGCUAACCGGUACUAAUGAACCGUGAGG